GUUGCUGUAGGCAAAUGGUUAAGCCGCCUGAUGGUCCGCCACCAGGAGAUGCGGGUUCAAUUCCCGUCAGCGACA
rnacentral:tRNA from 1 species